rnacentral:lncRNA from 1 species
UUCAGACUUGUCAUGGAUGACUCUAACAGGGCAGGUGUUACCACGUCAACUGGUCCAAAAAACAAAAUACCGGGUGCACAUCCCUUGAAGUUUCGGGUGUGUUUACUCUGAGGCACCGUGCACUGCAAAGCUGGGGAUUCACAGGCAAGUUUAGGUGAAUCCUCGGAACACGUGACUGAUGAAUUCCGGGCCCGUGUCGGGCUCUCAGCCAGCGCCUGCUCCGUGCGCCAGGGACGGAGUGCUGCCUUCUCGGGAGUCACACGGGACUGGCUUAGCCCUGGCGAGUGUUUCGCAUCAGGUGACAAGUUGUGCCGAGUGUCUGCCACCCUGCAUGCCCACACUGAAUCCGUGCAGGGCCCUCCCGGCCGCCUGCUCAGCUGUGGACACGGAGCUCCGGCACAGCCAAGUCCUGAAUGACAUGCAGCCAAUUCUCUUGGGCCCUUUCCGGGUUUGUCUGUGGUCCUUCCUUCUGUGUUUCCAGGCUGAGUCCUAAGGCCCUGGUCCUGUGCCCAGUGUGGUGCCUUGGAAGUUCUGAAAGUCACAGGGGCACAGUGGAGUGUGUGAGGAAAGACCCCUGCAGACGGCCUCCGGCGGGCUUCGGGCAGCUCUCCCUGGUUGGGGUCCCAGGGUCUUCAGGGAAGCCCCAAGUCCUGGUCCUGUUCAUCUUUGUGUCUCUAGUGGACAACAUGUAAGAAAUGCUACUUAAGCUGACCUGUUAGCAUAUGUAACAUAAUGCCGGGAAAAGAGCUGUGGCUGAAUUGAAUGAUUUCUUAAAUUGAUUUUAUAUUGUGUGCCCUUUGAAAAAUGUUUGGGGAGAAUUGGAGUUAAAGUUUUCAACACAGUGUGGUCCUUGCAGACUUCCUGUGGGAGGGAAUGACUUUC